UUCACUCACAUUAGCCGCCGGCAUCUCACUCCGAACAGAUUUCGCCAUGAAGUUGAUCGUCUGCAUUGUGCUGGCUGUGUCAGCCAUGGUGGCUGCCGACGAGGGCUUCUUUCCCCAGUCUGCCCAGUCAGCGCCCGAUACCUACAGCAACUACAACUAUAACAACUAUUACGAUCACCAGCCUCCCAAACAGACUGGGUGGCUGGACCGCCUGUUCGGAGAUACCCGACGUCAGGGAUUGGGAGGCC